AACGCUGGCGGCGUGCCUAAUACAUGCAAGUCGAACGGUCUUUCUAUGGAAGCUUGCUUCCACUGAGAAGAUAGUGGCGAACGGGUGAGUAACGCGUGGGUAACCUGCCCAUAAGAGGGGGGAUAACAUCCGGAAACGGGUGCUAAUACCGCAUAGUUUUCUUGAUCGCAUGAUCGGGAAAGGAAAGACGGCCUUUGUGCUGUCGCUUAUGGAUGGACCCGCGGCGUAUUAGUUAGUUGGUGAGGUAACGGCUCACCAAGACGAUGAUACGUAGCCGACCUGAGAGGGUGAUCGGCCACAUUGGGACUGAGACACGGCCCAAACUCCUACGGGAGGCAGCAGUAGGGAAUCUUCCGCAAUGGACGAAAGUCUGACGGAGCAACGCCGCGUGAGUGAAGAAAGGUUUUCGGAUCGUAAAACUCUGUUGUCAGAGAAGAACAAGUUGGAGAGUAACUGCUCCAGCCUUGACGGUAUCUGACCAGAAAGCCACGGCUAACUACGUGCCAGCAGCGGC
rnacentral:rRNA from 1 species